rnacentral:rRNA from 1 species
UACGGAGGGACCAAGCGUUGUUCGGAUUUACUGGGCGUAAAGGGCGCGUAGGCGGCAAUUCAAGUCAGCUGUGAAAUCUCCGAGCUUAACUCGGAACGGUCAGCUGAUACUGCUUUGCUAGAGUGCAGAAAGGGCAAUCGGAAUUCUUGGUGUAGCGGUGAAAUGCGUAGAUAUCAAGAGGAACACCUGAGGCGAAGGCGGGUUGCUAGGCUGACACUGACGCUGAGGCGCGAAAGCUAGGGUAGCAAACGGG